GAUGAAGAACGUAGCGAAAUGCGAUAAGUAAUGUGAAUUGCAGAAUUCAGUGAAUCAUCGAAUCUUUGAACGCACAUUGCGCCCCUUGGUAUUCCGGGGGCAUGCCUGUCCGAGCGUCAUUGCUGCCCUCAAGCACGGCUUGUGUGUUGGGCCCCGUCCUCCGAUCCCGGGGGACGGGCCCGAAAGGCAGCGGCGGCACCGCGUCCGGUCCUCGAGCGUAUGGGGCUUUGUCACCCGCUCUGUAGGCCCGGCCGGCGCUUGCCGAUCAACCCAAAUUUUUAUCCAGGUUGACCUCGGAUCAGGUAGGGAUACCCGCUGAACUUAAGCAUAUCAAUAAGCGGAGGA
rnacentral:misc_RNA from 1 species